rnacentral:rRNA from 1 species
UACAGAGACUGCAAGCGUUAUUCGGAUUCACUGGGCGUAAAGGGUGCGCAGGCGGCCAUGUGUGUGAGGCGUGAAAGCCCGGGGCUUAACCCCGGAAUUGCACCUCAAACUACAUGGCUAGAGCAUUGGAGAGGGUAGCGGAAUUCAUGGUGUAGCAGUGAAAUGCGUAGAUAUCAUGAGGAAUACCAGAGGCGAAGGCGGCUACCUGGACAAUUGCUGACGCUCAGGCACGAAAGCGUGGGGAGCAAAAGGG